UGAUAAGAUGGCUGAGAGUUAGGCGAUAGAUUGUAAAUCUAUUAACGGGGUAGAUUCCUCUUUUAUCAU
rnacentral:tRNA from 1 species